rnacentral:rRNA from 1 species
GUAAUUGACACUGAGGAACGAAAGCCGGGGUAGCAAAUGGGAUUAGAUACCCCAGUAGUCCCGGCCGUAAACGAUGGAUACUAGGUGUUGCGGGUAUCGACCCCUGCAGUGCCGUAGCUAACGCGAUAAGUAUCCCGCCUGGGGAGUACGCACGCAAGUGUGAAACUCAAAGGAAUUGACGGGGACCCGCACAAGCGGUGGAACAUGUGGUUUAAUUCGAAGCAACGCGAAAAACCUUACCAGGGCUUGACAUCUGAGGAACCUUUGUGAAAGCAGAGGGUGCUCUUCGGAGAACCUCAAGACAGGUGGUGCACGGUUGUCGUCAGCUCGUGUCGUGAGAUGUUGGGUUAAGUCCCGCAACGAGCGCAACCCUCGUCGUUAGUUGCAUGUAGCAGUAUACUUCUGCAUUGCUCUCUAGCGAGACUGCCGGUGAUAAACCGGAGGAAGGUGGGGACGACGUCAAAUCAUCAUGCCCCUUAUGUCCUGGGCUACACACGUGUUACAAUGGCUAAGACAGCGAGCAGCCAACCCGCGAGGGUGAGCAAAUCUCUUAAACUUAGUCUCAGUUCGGAUUGCACUCUGCAACUCGAGUGCAUGAAGUCGGAAUCGCUAGUAACCGUAGAUCAGCACGCUGCGGUGAAUACGUUCCCGGGUCUUGUACACACCGCCCGUCACACCAUGGAAGUCGACCACGCCCGAAGUGCGCAAGCUAACCAUUUGGAGGCAGCGUCCUAAGGCAGGGUUGGUGACUGGGGUGAAGUCGUAACAAGGUAGCCGUACCGGAAGGUGUGGCUGGAUCACCUCCUUUCUA